GCUUAACACAUGCAAGUCGAGGGGCAGCAUGGUCUUAGCUUGCUAAGGCCGAUGGCGACCGGCGCACGGGUGAGUAACACGUAUCCAACCUGCCGUCUACUCUUGGACAGCCUUCUGAAAGGAAGAUUAAUACAAGAUGGCAUCAUGAGUCCGCAUGUUCACAUGAUUAAAGGUAUUCCGGUAGACGAUGGGGGUGCGUUCCAUUAGAUAGUAGGCGGGGUAACGGCCCACCUAGUCUUCGAUGGAUAGGGGUUCUGAGAGGAAGGUCCCCCACAUUGGAACUGAGACACGGUCCAAACUCCUACGGGAGGCAGCAGUGAGGAAUAUUGGUCAAUGGGCGAGAGCCUGAACCAGCCAAGUAGCGUGAAGGAUGACUGCCCUAUGGGUUGUAAACUUCUUUUAUAAAGGAAUAAAGUCGGGUAUGGAUACCCGUUUGCAUGUACUUUAUGAAUAAGGAUCGGCUAACUCCGUGCCAGCAGCCGCGGUAAUACGGAGGAUCCGAGCGUUAUCCGGAUUUAUUGGGUUUAAAGGGAGCGUAGAUGGAUGUUUAAGUCAGUUGUGAAAGUUUGCGGCUCAACCGUAAAAUUGCAGUUGAUACUGGAUAUCUUGAGUGCAGUUGAGGCAGGCGGAAUUCGUGGUGUAGCGGUGAAAUGCUUAGAUAUCACGAAGAACUCCGAUUGCGAAGGCAGCCUGCUAAGCUGCAACUGACAUUGAGGCUCGAAAGUGUGGGUAUCAAACAGGAUUAGAUACCCUGGUAGUCCACACGGUAAACGAUGAAUACUCGCUGUUUGCGAUAUACUGCAAGCGGCCAAGCGAAAGCGUUAAGUAUUCCACCUGGGGAGUACGCCGGCAACGGUGAAACUCAAAGGAAUUGACGGGGGCCCGCACAAGCGGAGGAACAUGUGGUUUAAUUCGAUGAUACGCGAGGAACCUUACCCGGGCUUAAAUUGCAGAUGAAUUACGGUGAAAGCCGUAAGCCGCAAGGCAUCUGUGAAGGUGCUGCAUGGUUGUCGUCAGCUCGUGCCGUGAGGUGUCGGCUUAAGUGCCAUAACGAGCGCAACCCUUGUUGUCAGUUACUAACAGGUUCCGCUGAGGACUCUGACAAGACUGCCAUCGUAAGAUGUGAGGAAGGUGGGGAUGACGUCAAAUCAGCACGGCCCUUACGUCCGGGGCUACACACGUGUUACAAUGGGGGGUACAGAGGGCCGCUACCACGCGAGUGGAUGCCAAUCCCCAAAACCUCUCUCAGUUCGGACUGGAGUCUGCAACCCGACUCCACGAAGCUGGAUUCGCUAGUAAUCGCGCAUCAGCCACGGCGCGGUGAAUACGUUCCCGGGCCUUGUACACACCGCCCGUCAAGCCAUGGGAGCCGGGGGUACCUGAAGUGCGUAACCGCGAGGAGCGCCCUAGGGUAAAACUGGUGACUGGGGCUAAG
rnacentral:rRNA from 1 species